AACAAACGCUGGCGGCGUGCCUAAUACAUGCAAGUCGAACGAGGAAAGCUUUCGGGUGAGUACUAGUGGCGCACGGGUGAGGAAUACAUGGGUAAUCUGCCCUCGAGUUGGGGAUAACCAGUCGAAAGAUUGGCUAAUACCGGAUAAGACCACAAGAUCUGCGGAUCAAGGGGUUAAAGGUUUUUCGCUUGAGGAUGAGCCCAUGUGGGAUUAGCUAGUUGGUGAGGUAAUGGCUCACCAAGGCGACGAUCCCUAACUGGUCUAAGAGGAUGAUCAGUCACACUGGAACUGAGACACGGUCCAGACUCCUACGGGAGGCAGCAGUAGGGAAUAUUGCACAAUGGGGGAAACCCUGAUGCAGCGACGCCGCGUGAGUGAUGAAGGCCUUCGGGUCGUAAAGCUCUGUCGUAUGGGACUAACACAAUGAAGGUACCAUGCAAGAAAGGAUCGGCUAACUUCGUGCCAGCAGCCGCAGUAACAC
rnacentral:rRNA from 1 species